rnacentral:lncRNA from 1 species
AAAGGCGCUGCGUCCUGGCGGCCAGCGGGGGCUUAGUCUAGGCCCGGCAGGGUUUUCUGGAAGACCAGAGGGCCACCAGGUCACCGAGGUGGGAAGUGAAGAGAGGUUCGACGCUGCCUCAGGCCUGGGCCUGGCCGGUGGGAGACACAGCAAGGACUCUGGGAGCCUGCAGAGCAGAGGCCGCCGCGGGGCCGGGCCCCCGUCUCCUCCUCAGGUCCAAGACCAGAGGGUCUGCAGGGCCCCAGAGCAGCUGGCCGCGCUCCGCUUCCCACCGCGCUCUCUGCUGGAACUCAUGUCUAGGGGUCAGAAAUCUGCAAUCAGUUUCGGUGGACCAAAAUGAAAAUGUCAAACAGGGUGUCUGACACCCUCCAGAAGCACCAGAGGAGAAGCAGCUUUCCUUGGCCUUCCCAGCCAAAUCUCCCUCUGCCUCUCUCCCCUGGUGACGACAAUGGCUGGGGUCUUGACUUGCCAAGAUCUGGAAACGGAGAAGGGACUGGAUCUCCAAACUUGGACUGCCUUGGACUGACCCUGGCCUGGAAGGUGUGGGCUCAGGACUCCGAGCUCAAGUCAGUCUGUUCCCCCAACCCCUAACCCACUGCAUCCGGGUGAGGAGUUGGGCCCGAGCGCCACAGCGCAGAUAGGGUUGUUAGGAGCGAAAGACUGGAGACCCAGGGACUGUGGGGCUGGGCUGGUGGGGCCACUGCUACCGACUAAGCAGUACGGGCCGCCUGGAAGACCGAAGGCGGAGUUCGCUGAUGCGGAAGCCAAGGCACAGGGCAAUAAGGAUCCGCGCCAUUUCUUGUGAUGUCACCUGAAGCCUUGGCGGGUAGCUGCCUCUCAUCCAUUCGGAGGACAGGGCUCCAGCCACCGGCAGCUCUGAAAGAGUUUGAAGAAUUUAUUGUUCACAGAUGGUAUUUAAAUGGACUUAUUUCUAAAAGUCACAUUCCUUUAUUACUUAUUUGUUAUUAGAAGUACCCAUUUUCAUAUGUGUUUAAAACUAUUUGUGUCUCAAAUUCUCAGGAGAUUGAUGCAUCCCAGUUUACUCUUUUUGGCAUAUGUUUUUACUCAUAAAUUAGGUUAAAUUUCAUACUUGUUUUAUAAAAUUUAGUUAUUUGGUUACAUUAAAAUAUUUGUAUCCAGAUAAGAAGUCUCUUCCUUCUCCUAUGCUUUUUUUGGAAUUUAGAGCAUAUCUGAAAUAAAAUUAAUUUACUUUUUAUUACUAA